UCGGCUACGACUGGGUCCCGCGGGGCGUUA
rnacentral:sRNA from 1 species